rnacentral:lncRNA from 1 species
UUUUCUUUGUAUUGAUAUUGCGGGUUUGUAACCCUUUACAAAUUUUAAAAAACUGCUUUAUAUAGCCGAAAAAUAAAUGAAGAUUACAAAAAAGAUGUAUCUUGUUUUUUCUUAUGUUCUUUUUCUUUUUGCUGCUGAUUUCUACCCCUCUUUUCGUUUGUUUCCUCUGUUGAUUGUUUGUGGCACUGCAGGUACAGUCGUACGGGAGCAAUGGCAGUGUGUGAAGGCUGUACGGAGGUGUGCGUUGGAGGUGUGGCAGACGAUGAGGCCACGUAUGGAAGCUUGCGG